rnacentral:rRNA from 1 species
UACGAAGGGGGCUAGCGUUGUUCGGAAUUACUGGGCGUAAAGGGCGCGUAGGCGGUGUGUCAAGUCAGGCGUGAAAGCCCCGGGCUCAACCUGGGAACCGCGCUUGAGACUGGCACGCUCGAGUUCGGGAGAGGAUGGUGGAAUUCCCAGUGUAGAGGUGAAAUUCGUAGAUAUUGGGAAGAACACCAGUGGCGAAGGCGGCUCACUGGCCCGAUACUGACGCUGAGGCACGAAAGCGUGGGGAGCAAACAGG